GACGAACGCUGGCGGCGUGCCUAAUACAUGCAAGUGGGACGCAAGAGAACACACUGUGCUUGCACACCGUGUUUUCUUGAGUCGCGAACGGGUGAGUAACGCGUAGGUAACCUUCCUAUUAGCGGGGGAUAACUAUUGGAAACGAUAGCUAAUACCGCAUAAUAUUAAUUAUUGCAUGAUAAUUGAUUGAAAGAUGCAAGCGCAUCACUAGUAGAUGGACCUGCGUUGUAUUAGCUAGUUGGUAAGGUAAGAGCUUACCAAGGCGACGAUACAUAGCCGACCUGAGAGGGUGAUCGGCCACACUGGGACUGAGACACGGCCCAGACUCCUACGGGAGGCAGCAGUAGGGAAUCUUCGGCAAUGGACGAAAGUCUGACCGAGCAACGCCGCGUGAGUGAAGAAGGUUUUCGGAUCGUAAAGCUCUGUUGUAAGUCAAAAACGUGUGUGAGAGUGGAAAGUUCACACAGGACG
rnacentral:rRNA from 1 species